rnacentral:rRNA from 1 species
UACCAGCUCUCCGAGUGGUAGGGAUGAUUAUUGGGCUUAAAGCGUCCGUAGCCGGCUUAGCAAGUCUCCUGUUAAAUUCAGCGACCUAAUCGUUGAGCCGCGGGAGAUACUACUAGGCUAGGAGGCGGGAGAGGUCGACGGUACUUCUGGGGUAGGGGCGAAAUCCUAUAAUCCCGGGAGGACCACCAGUGGCGAAGGCUGUCGACUAGAACGCGCUCGACGGUGAGGGACGAAAGCUGGGGGAGCGAACCGGAUUAGAUACCCGGGUAGUCCCAGCUGUAGACGAUGCGGGCUAGGUGUUGGGGUGGCUACGUGCCACUUCAGUGCCGCAGGGAAGCCAUUAAGCCCGCCGCCUGGGGAGUACGGCCGCAAGGCUGAAACUUAAAGGAAUUGGCGGGGAGCACCACAAGGCGUGAAGCUUGCGGUUC